AGAAAAACGAAGAUGGUAAUAAUUACCUAACUCACGGGGCUGUGCCAAGAGGUAAAUAAAAGAAUACAUGUACAACACUCAAGUACAUUACCUUGUACUCCAUAUGUGCUCACUGAAUGUCAGACGCGGCCGUGUGCGCAGUCAUACAAACUGCGGACCCACACACGCACUUCAUAACGCCGCAAGAUAAUUCUAACACCAGGACCUUAGAUGAAAGCUGAUCCAUCAUGUGCACUCAAGGAAUAAAAAAUAAAUAAAGAGGCACUUGCCAACAAGAGAAAAAAAACAGAACUAAUUAUAGUAGGUCCUCUGUGUCUUGUGCCCAACAGAAAAUGAGUUUGUUGCUAGGCUCCUUUUCUGGCCACAAUUCAUGAUGCAAUUAAAGCACUGGCAUUGUUUCCCAUGUUCCAUUUUAAACAGCCUCCUUGUCCAGGUCUCCUUGAAGGGGCCUGCUUUCUGGGGCCAGGUUAGGAAAAAGGCAACAGCCCCCCUUAGCUGUGCACCUGCAAUGGUCAAGUUCCCCACACCGGAUGUCUGCUCGGGUUGCUGAGGUCACCUGAAGGAGGAGGGUUUUAUGGACUCUGGCGCCUCCAUCCCUGCUGCAACCACCAGUUCUUUUCUGGGGCGGGAAAGAACACUGGCUUUGAAAAAUGACAAGUCUGCCAAGAGGUCUGUUGUUGCAGGUUUAAAGAGAUGCGAGAAGCUUCCAGAAUGGUGUCUGAAUCAUACUAGACCUUCAAUUAAAGCAGAGUGACUGCAAUUAAACCAAAACAAUGAUACAACUCAUCAAUGCAGCUGCAGAGAACAACACAAUGUUUGGAUCUCCAGAGGGCAGCUGGGCUGGGAAGGAAACAGAUCACAGAUUACCCAGCGAGGAAGAGCAGCAACCAGCUCAGGAGAGCCCAGAAGGGAAGGUAGCAUCUGCUUUGGCCUCUGUAGGAUGCACGGUGGAGAAAAUGAGGGCAGGAUCUGAGAAAACCCUUCAUCAGCAAGAAGAAGACAGUCUGAACUGAGGGGAUGUCAUGGUGCUACCAGAAACUUACCAUCCAUGGGCCAGCCACAACCCAGUGGCAGGGGCAACGGCUCCUCCCUAAACCAGCAGUCCCCCACCUGGUAUCUGUUUGUAUAAGGAGACUUCUUUAAACAAGAACAACAACAAAAUCUACAAAAGAAUAGAGUGACAAAAAAGCUACUAGUAAUGCAGAGUUGUUUUAAAAUAAAUUGGUGUUGGGAUGCCUGGGUGGCUCAGUUGGUUGAGCAUCUGUCUUUGGCUCAGAUCAUGAUCCUGGGGUCCUGGGAUGUAGUCCUGCAUCAGGUUCCCAGAAGGGAGCCUGCCUCUCCCUCUGCCUGUGUCUCUGCCUCUCUCUCUCUCCGUGUCUUUCAUGAAUAAAUAAAUAAAAUUUUUAAAAAUAAAUAAAAAUAAAAUAAAUUGGUGUUUCAUUACAUCAACUCUAUCCACUAAUAUAUAUAAAUAAUACAAGCAAAGCCUGACAGGUAUAUACCAUUGCAGAAAUCACCCCAUAGAUGACACAUACCACCUCCACCCCAGCCACCACCUCAUGCAGGGCUCUAAGAUCCAGAGGUGGGAAUGGCUCCCUAUGCCAACCCUACUCGCCUGUUCAGGCCUAUCACCCAUACCUGGAUGACAAGACAAAAAUUGGGAGAAAUGACAAAAAUUUUAUCUAUGCCUGCAAGAAAAGUCCUAAAUAAACUUAACACACCUCUGUAAAGCCGACGGCAACAUUAAGAACUCCAAGGUAUGUGACACAAUUUGGAUAGGCUCAAAGCCCAGGGGCUUGAUGCCUGGUUUUUCCUACUAUUCACAUUGAGUCUCUAAUAUCAAGUAGACGUUAAGCGUAGGUAUUUAAAAAAACAAGCACAAGUUUACAAGUACCUGAAAAAGAACCACCCUUGACCUCACAUGAGUGUUACAGAGAGGCGGUUGCUCUGAAAGCAGGCAGCAUUCACCCCUUUUUCCUAGCAUCAUGUGAUUAGAAACCAGGUAGUUUCAGCAGAUGCCCCCAGGGUGAGGAAAAGUAGACAAAAGAAUCCUACUGUGAAAUGCAAACCGUGAGCUCCCCAACACCUACAGGGAUCAACUGAGCCACUCUUGGCCCUUGGCCAGGAAGCCAGGACCAGAAGACCCCUUCCUAUAAGCCAGAGCCACUAAGUGUUGUUUGAAUAGAGCUAAGUUCAUGUGGGAGUGAAAAAAAAUCAGACCUGUUUUGAAAUUUGACAACUAAGAGUUUGAAUUUCCAGUGUUUAAACAGCAAUAUCCUGAAGGGCAUAUUUUUCCCAUCAGUCAAUGUGAACCACUAAUUUAGAAUUAAUUCAAUGAUAGAUUUCAGAUUCCAAAACAAGCAGAUUCUCUGUUGUUCUGACAUCAUGGGCUUAGCAGACACCUUGUAGAAACACAGCCUGCAUUUGGCAGGGGCUUGCCUUGCCAGCCCCACCUCAUGGUCCUCCUUCAGAUGGAGCAGAGCUCUGAUUCAGAAAAGCAGCGGCCUGGAGGGGCUGGGCAGGGCUGGGCAGGGAGGUGUGAUGUGCAGCUGGAGCUUGGCCUGAGACUUUGUUUCCACUGACUUGGCAGCUGGGUGCCCGGGGAGAGGAGACAGCCCUUUCCCCUCAGGGGCCAACUUCCCUUCCAUAACCUCCCAAUCAUCUCCCUCCCUCAGGCCCUGCUCCAGGGCACCGGCACACCCAGGAAGCCAGGGAGAAGCUUGGCUUUGGUCCGCAGGACAUCUGGAUAACCAGGCACCACCACCACCACCACCACCACCCCCCCCCCCCCCGCCCCGCCGGUCUGCUGACUGAUCACAAACCACACAGUGGAAAG
rnacentral:lncRNA from 1 species